rnacentral:tRNA from 1 species
AUUUUCAUAGUGUAAAUUAACACUUAACAUUUUCGUUGUUAAAAUGAUUAUUUUCUGAAAAU